CUCGAGAGAUUGACGGACGGUUUACCCGCCAAUUCGGUCAGGCCCGGAAGGGAGCAGCCGUAACGGGACUAUCGGGUCGCUCAAUCUCUCACUUUU
rnacentral:SRP_RNA from 3 species